rnacentral:piRNA from 1 species
UGAGACCGACAGAAAGGACGUCAU